rnacentral:rRNA from 2 species
UGGCUCAGAACGAACGCUGGCGGCAGGCCUAACACAUGCAAGUCGAGCGCCCCGCAAGGGGAGCGGCAGACGGGAGAGUAACACGUGGGAACGUACCCUUUGGUCUGGAACAACCCAGGGAAACUUGGGCUAAUACCGGAUAAGCCCUUACGGGGAAAGAUUUAUCGCCGAAGGAUCGGCCCGCGCCUGAUUAGCUAGUUGGUGGGGUAAUGGCCCACCAAGGCGAGGAUCAGUAGCUGGUCUGAGAGGAUGAUCAGCCUCACUGGGACUGUUUCACGGCCCANAGACCUACGGGAGGCAG